GACGAACGCUGGCGGCGUGCUUAACACAUGCAAGUCGAACGGAAAGGCCCUGCUUGCAGGGUACUCGAGUGGCGAACGGGUGAGUAACACGUGGGUGAUCUGCCCUGCACUUCGGGAUAAGCCUGGGAAACUGGGUCUAAUACCGGAUAGGAGCCAUUUUUAGUGUGAUGGUUGGAAAGUUUUUUCGGUGUAGGAUGAGCUCGCGGCCUAUCAGCUUGUUGGUGGGGUAAUGGCCUACCAAGGCGGCGACGGGUAGCCGGCCUGAGAGGGCGGACGGCCACAUUGGGACUGAGAGACGGCCCAGACUCCUACGGGAGGCAGCAGUGGGGAAUAUUGCACAAUGGGCGCAAGCCUGAUGCAGCGACGCCGCGUGGGGGAUGACGGCCUUCGGGUUGUAAACUCCUUUCGCUAGGGACGAAGCUUUUUGUGACGGUACCUAGAUAAGAAGCACCGGCUAACUACGUG
rnacentral:rRNA from 1 species